UACGGAGGGUGCAAGCGUUAUCCGGAUUCACUGGGUUUAAAGGGUGCGUAGGUGGGCAGGUAAGUCAGUGGUGAAAUCUCUGGGCUUAACCCGGAAACUGCCGUUGAUACUAUCUGUCUUGAAUGUAGUGGAGGUGAGCGGAAUAUGUCAUGUAGCGGUGAAAUGCUUAGAUAUGACAUAGAACACCCAUUGCGAAGGCAGCUCGCUACGCUAUUAUUGACACUGAGGCACGAAAGCGUGGGGAGCAAACAGG
rnacentral:rRNA from 1 species